rnacentral:misc_RNA from 1 species
GAUGAAGAACGCAGCGAAAUGCGAUACUUGGUGUGAAUUGCAGAAUCCCGUGAACCAUCGAGUCUUUGAACGCAAGUUGCGCCUGAAGCCAUUAGGCCGAGGGCACGCCUGCCUGGGCGUCACACGUCGUUGCCCCCCCAUCUACUCCUUCGGGAUUGCGGGGGGCGGAUGAUGGCCUCCCGUGCGCCUCGCCGCGCGGUUGGCAUAAAUGCCAAGUCCUCGGCGACGCACGCCACGACAAUCGGUGGUUGCGAAACCUCGGUUGCCCGUCGUGUGCGGUCGUCGCGCAUCGAGGGCUCGAAAAAAUUGCCGGGUUCCGGCUCGGCUUUCAACGCGACCCCAGGUCAGGCGGGGUUACCCGCUGAAUUUAAGCAUAUCAAUAAGCGGAGGA